rnacentral:rRNA from 1 species
UUGAGCAUCAAACUUUUAAAUUGAAGAGUUUGAUCAUGGCUCAGAUUGAACGCUGGCGGCAGGCCUAACACAUGCAAGUCGAACGGUAA